rnacentral:rRNA from 1 species
UACGUAGGGUGCGAGCGUUAUUCGGAAUUACUGGGCGUAAAGCGUGCGCAGGCGGUUUUUUAAGUCAGAUGUGAAAUCCCCGGGCUUAACCUGGGAAUGGCAUUUGGGACUGCAAGGCUGGAGUGCGGCAGAGGAGAAUGGAAUUCCUGGUGUAGCAGUGAAAUGCGUAGAUAUCAGGAGGAAUACCGAUGGCGAAGGCAGGUCUCUGGGCUGACACUGACGCUCAUGCACGAAAGCGUGGGGAGCAAACAGG